AGCACAGGAGGCUAGCAGCCCUGUCACACUGGCUCAGGAAUUUGAUUUUUCUUAUUCUAAGAGUGAAGAGGCAGACAAGCAGGAGGAAAGCAGGCGGUUAAAAGUCCAUGACAGUACUCAAGAACAAAGUGGAUAGAUUAGGUCUCAGAGAUCCUGUUUGACCCCAGGCAAAGAGUAACAAAGAGGGGGAAUCCAAAGAGAAAAACAAAAGAUACAAUUCAAGGAAACUUCUUCUUUUUUCUUUUUCUAGGAAACCUCUAAUCUCUUUACUGAGAGCUCAGACUUCUGGAAUAGCCCUCUCAGUCUUGGUCUUACUAGUUGACCCCACUAAUGCAGACUCUGUUUUAGGUAUUCUCAAGCCAUAUCCAGAAAACCAGAGUGUGUUCCUGCUGUAUUUGCGCCAGGGAUGGGGAGAACUGGGAAUGUGAAAGCUGCACUCCUACAGUACAUGAUGAAAUGUCACUGAUGAUCUCUGCCAAUGAAGGCGUGCCUUGGAAAACCCAUGUGACUCAGUGGCCUUCCACUGGCAUCCAUUCAGUCCCCUUCACCCAAGAUUAUCAGGGAAUCCACUUAGCUUCCAAAACACAUCUGGGAAAAUAUGAAGAGGUCUUCCUGCAAGCCAGUAGAGCUCAUCACGGUCCUCAGCUGGAAGCACAGAGCCCACCGUUGGAGACAGAAAUCAGCAGCAGAGCAACUCAGUCUCCGAGAGGAUUUAAUACGCAAAUACACACAGAGAGUCUCCCAGAGAAAGAGGAUGCUGUCUUUCUGAAAUGUAUCAAAUGACUAAAUCGCCUUGAUGAAGAGUAGUUCAUGGGGUAGUUUUCUGUGGAGCAUGAUUUGGAAAUACACAGCAGGUCUCAGCGGGAAAUAUUUGUAGACCAUCUCUUAGGACAAACGAUGUAUUUUAUUUUUCAGCAUUCAUGGAACAAGGUGAUUUUUCUUCCUUGUCUUAUUUUUAGAAGUUGUUCUCUGUCUGGAUACUACUCAGUAAGCUUUAAUUCCAAUAAUAUUGACAUU
rnacentral:lncRNA from 1 species